rnacentral:lncRNA from 1 species
AGCGCUGCAAGAUCCCUUUGUUCAUGCUAAUGUCCUUCUUGCCAGCCUCUGCUGUCCCUGUGUUCAGCUGUGGUGUGAUUUCUGCUCUGAGAAAUCAGGAGGAGAGUGUUACAGGCAGGAGCUACUGUACCUUGCUCGAUUGUCUCUGUUCCUGGGGGCAAGUGGGGCAUGUCCUGGAGCUCAUUGUGGACUGGCUGCCUACAGUGCCACCGCAAGCCAAGAGUAAUUUGGCCUCUAAACGAAAAGUGCAAAUCAAUGACAUGUGCUCAGUGAAGCCUAAGUUAGCA